rnacentral:rRNA from 1 species
UACGUAGGGACCGAGCGUUGUCCGGAAUCAUUGGGCGUAAAGAGCGUGUAGGCGGCUUGCUAAGUCUUGCGUGAAAUCUCGGGGCUCAACCCCGAGCGGUCGUGGGAAACUGGCAGGCUAGAGUGCGGGAGAGGAGAAUGGAAUUCCUGGUGUAGCGGUGAAAUGCGCAGAUAUCAGGAAGAACACCCGUGGCGAAGGCGGUUCUCUGGAACGGUACUGACGCUGAGACGCGAAAGCGUGGGGAGCGAACAGG